GAUGAACGCUGGCGGCGUGCCUAAUACAUGCAAGUCGAGCGAACGGACGAGAAGCUUGCUUCUCUGAUGUUAGCGGCGGACGGGUGAGUAACACGUGGAUAACCUACCUAUAAGACUGGGAUAACUUCGGGAAACCGGAGCUAAUACCGGAUAAUAUUUUGAACCGCAUGGUUCAAUAGUGAAAGACGGUUUUGCUGUCACUUAUAGAUGGAUCCGCGCUGCAUUAGCUAGUUGGUAAGGUAACGGCUUACCAAGGCAACGAUGCGUAGCCGACCUGAGAGGGUGAUCGGCCACACUGGAACUGAGACACGGUCCAGACUCCUACGGGAGGCAGCAGUAGGGAAUCUUCCGCAAUGGGCGAAAGCCUGACGGAGCAACGCCGCGUGAGUGAUGAAGGUCUUCGGAUCGUAAAACUCUGUUAUUAGGGAAGAACAAAUGUGUAAGUAACUGUGCACAUCUUGACGGUACCUAAUCAGAAAGCCACGGCUAACUACGUG
rnacentral:rRNA from 1 species